UAGGAGCCGAGGAGCAUUAAAUCAAAAUUGAAAUCAAAUCGUCAACGGCAGCAGCUGCAGAUUUAAAACGGAAGCUUAAAGGCUUGCAGGCGGCAUAUGGCCCCACGCCGACUGACAGAGAGGUUGGAGGAUGAGGAUGAGGGGGAGGAGCUCACUCUGGCACCUAUUUCAAACUCAAUUAAACACGGAAAGGCCAGCAGCAGCCGGCAUCCUAUGGUGUGUGUCAUGAAAUUCGCCACGGUGGACACAGCUGUUCUUUAUGUGGCUCCCACCGAGCGGGUGAGUGUGGGCUUAUUGUGGAUGCAGUCUGAACGGGUGGAUUAAAUAUUUGAAUACAGUUGCCAGUUGCCAUCCUCCUCUUUCAGUCCUGGUCUGGCCUGUCGUGUUCUCUCUGGGCGUUUCGUUUUGAUAUCAUUUAAAGGGCUUCGAGUCAUGUUCUUGGUUCCGUAACUAAAUAAAGAGCUUCGGUCAGUCCCGAAA